rnacentral:rRNA from 1 species
UACGUAGGGCGCAAGCGUUGUCCGGAAUUAUUGGGCGUAAAGAGCUCGUAGGCGGCUUGUCACGUCGGGUGUGAAAGCCCGGGGCUUAACCCCGGGUCUGCAUUCGAUACGGGCUAGCUAGAGUGUGGUAGGGGAGAUCGGAAUUCCUGGUGUAGCGGUGAAAUGCGCAGAUAUCAGGAGGAACACCGGUGGCGAAGGCGGAUCUCUGGGCCAUUACUGACGCUGAGGAGCGAAAGCGUGGGGAGCAAACAGG